CCCUUAGAUGUUCUGGGCCGCACGCGCGCUACACUGACGAUGGCAACGAGUUUUUCCUUCGCCGAAAGGUGUUGGUAAUCUUUUGAAACAUCGUCGUGCUGGGGAUAGAUCAUUGCAAUUUUUGAUCUUGAACGAGGAAUUCCUAGUAAGCGCGAGUCAUCAGCUCGCGUUGAUUACGUCCCUGCCCUUUGUACACACCGCCCGUCGCUACUACCGAUUGAAUGGUUUAGUGAGGACUCCUGAUUGGCGCCGCCGCCCCGGCAACGGAGCAGCGGACUGCCGAAAAGUUGUUCAAACUUGAUCAUUUAGAGGAAGUAAAAGUCGUAACA
rnacentral:rRNA from 1 species